UGAUAUGAUUGCAGAUAUUCAUAUUUCAAAAUUGUUGUAAAUCCGGUUAAGUUGACUGACCAGGACAGCACAAUCCGGUUAUCGAGUAGAAGACCAUGUGUUACUUAUCUAGCGGUUGAAAAAUCUGCUAUAAACUAAUAUUGAUUUGUCUUUUCACCUUUGUUUUCUUUACAACAAUUCUGUUUUGUUAUAUCCAUGUUAAUAGUUAACUAUUCGGG
rnacentral:lncRNA from 1 species